UAGAGUUGUGUUGUUGGUUUCCUGUAUCAUUAAAAUAAGAUAAGAAGAGUAACGCUGCCUCAUCCUUAUUUCGCGCCGCUACUCCGUGCUCGGCCACUCGCUCCUCCGCGCGCGCGCCACCGGACCGCUCGCCGCGCUCGGCUGCUCCGGCGACCUCUGACCUCCCCCACUUCGGCAGGCUCGCCCCUGCCCUCUUCCCCUUCACCUCCCCGUCGCAGCUCGCCCCGGCUCGCUCCUGCACCUGCGGCGCUUCCUCUUGAACUGGCUGUGGCCUGCGGCUCUCCCUCCAGUGCGGAGGAGCCGGCCACCGGCAGCGGCGACGGUGCUCCUUCUGCAGCAUAUAGGUGAGGAACAGCCUGUCCCGCGGCGGCUUCAAGCAAGAUGGAUCGAAGUUGGGUGCAUGGUGUGCUAUUUACACCUCAGUAUAUUAGUGGUGUGAAAUCUUUCAUGAACUUCAUCAAAGAGAGGUUUAAUGAGGCUGAACAAAUUCUAUGCCCAUGUAGCGAUUGUUUAAACCAUAAAUAUCUAGACCAAAAGGAUGUGGAGAGGCACCUACUGCUCAAUGGCAUGUCCAGUACAUAUACAAGGUGGAUAAAACAUGGAGAGGACAAUAAUGUCUAUGUUUUAGAGGAACCAGUGCCUGAGGAUGGAAAUAAUAAUUCUUUGGAGGAACCAGUACAUGAUGAUCCAUUGGAUGAGAUGUUAAGGGACCUCGUCGGCCCCGAACAUGUAAAUGAUGAUGGACAUGAAGAUGGAAACCCAUCUAAUGGAAACCCAUCCAAUGAAGCUGCAUCACGUUUCAAACAUCUAAUUGAAGAAGCUAAGCGUGAACUAUAUCCUGGUUGCACCAAUUUUUCAAGGUAUUGUCAGAAGCUUUCCCACAGUUCAAUACUGUUCCAAAAUCAUAUGAUGAAGCAAAGAAGAUGCUUCGUGAGUUGGGACUUGGCUAUGAAUCAAUUCAUGCGUGCCCGAACAAUUAUGUGCUAUUUUGGAAGACACACAAAAAAAGAUAACUGUCCAAUUUGUGAAGCAUCAAGAUGGAAAGAUCCUGAGAAUAAGAAGGUUCCUGCAAAGGUGUUGCGGCAUUUCCCAUUGAAACCUAGGCUACAAAGGUUGUUUGUUUCGAAGAAAUCAUCUGAGGAAGUUCAGUGGCAUAAGUUGAAGAGGAAACCCAAUGAGAAGGAGAUGACCCAUCCUGCCGAUGGAAAGGCAUGGGAAGAUUUUGACAAAUGUUGGCCUGAUUUUGCUAAAGAUGCACGGAACCUAAGACUUGGACUUGCCACGGAUGGUUUCAAUCCUUUUGGCAACAUGAGUUCAUCUUACAGCAUGUGGCCUGUUUUUGUGAUUCCAUACAACUUACCACCUUGGUUGUGCAUGCAAGAAUCUAAUUUCAUGAUGUCUUUAUUGAUUCUUGGCCCUCGUUCACCAGGGAAGGCCUUUGAUGUUUUCUUGCAACCUCUUGUAGAAGAUUUAAUUGAAUUAUGGAAAGGUGUGGAUACCUAUGAUGCUCUCACUGGAAAAGAUUUUAACCUUCGUGCUGCUGUGUUGUGGUGUAUUCAUGACUAUCCAGCACUGAGUACUCUAUCAGGGCGUACCACUAGUGGUUACUUUACUUGUCUCUAUUGUGACAAAAGUCCUCUGUCCUAUGCCAUAAGGAGCAAGAUAUGCUAUAUUGGGCACGACCGGUUCCUUCCACAAGGUCAUCGUUUGCGCAAGGCCAGUGAUUUUAAGUCUCUCCAUGGUACUAGUGCAAAGCCAGGCACUUUCACCACAGAAGAGCUGCUAGAAGAAUUAGAAAAAGUUAGAGAUGUUAGAGUUGGACAGAAAAGGAAGCGUUCUGGGGACCGUGUGCCAAUUUGGGGUAGAAGGGUUUGUUUGUGGGACUUGGAAUAUUGGCCAUCUCUGAAGCUCAGACACAAUCUUGAUGUGAUGCAUAUUGAAAAAAAUGUGUGUGAAAGCUUGCUUGGUACCAUUCUUGACAUCAAAGGGAAGUCAAAAGACACAACUAAUGCAAGGUUAGAUCUUGCUGAUCUGAAAAUUAGGAAGGAGUUGCAAUUGCAGCAUAAUGGAGAUGGGUAUGAAAUGCCUAGAGCUCGAUAUACGUUGUCCAAGUCAAAGAAGACUCAAUUUCUUAAUUCCUUGAAGGAUACCAAGUUUCCAGACGGGUAUGCUUCAAAUAUACAAAGGUGCUUAACUGCUGAUGCAAUGAAGUGGCAAGGCCUGAAAACUCAUGACUGUCACAUUCUGUUGCAAAGGAUUAUACCUGCUGGGGUGAGAGGGUUGUUGGACGAUGAUAUCUACCAAACAAUUGCUGAGUUUGGUAAAUUUUUUAGGGAAUUGUGUAGCCAAAGACUGAACAAAGAUUUGUUGGCUCGAAUGAAGACAGAAAUACCUAUCAUAUUGUGCAAGCUUGAGAAAAUCUUCCCCCUGCUUUUUUUGAUGUUAUGGUUCACCUUGCUAUCCAUUUGCCUGAUGAGGCCAUCCUUCGAGGACCUGUGCAAUUUGGUUGGAUGUACCCAGUUGAGCGCCGCUUGUAUACUCUGAAAAAGUUUGUUAGGAACAAGGCACGUCCUGAAGGCUCAAUUGCAGAGGCUUAUGUGGCAGAUGAAGCCCUCACAUUCUGCUCUAGAUAUAUGGAAGAUGUGGAGACAAGGUUUAAUCGUCUUCCAAGAAAUGUUGGAUUUUCAGAUCAGUCAGCAUAUACCGUUGAUGUUUUUGGGCAUGGUGUUAAUCUUAUAGGUGCAUAUGAUUAUUCGUACUCUGAGGAAAUUGAGCAGUUGGCUUGGUAUGUUCUCAAUAAUUGUGAUCAGGCCGAGAAAUACAUAAUUAAGUUUCAAGAUGACUUAGCAACAUCUGGGGUGGCUGCAACAGAUCUUGAAAGGAGGACGCAGAAUGGUUUUGUGAAUUGGUUUAGGAAUCAUAUAUGGAGGUUGAGUGAAACAGAGGUGGUUGAUGAUGAUUUGUUUGCCUUAGCUAGUGGCCCUGACAUUAGAGUAAGAUCAUACUCCACAUGUGUUGUCAAUGGUGUUCGGUUCAACACUGCUGAGCGUGACAAGAACAAGACAACACAAAACUCCGGGUUGACCUGUACAGGUGUAUAUAAAAAUAGGAUAAUUGAUUAUUAUGGUACACUUAAAGAGAUUAUUGAGAUACUGUACUCCACCAAGGGUGAUGGUACAAAACGAUCAGCUGUUGUUUUCAGAUGUGACUGGUACAAAUUGGAUGGUAAGCAUACCUCAU